rnacentral:rRNA from 1 species
AGGACGAACGCUGGCGGCGUGCCUAACACAUGCAAGUCGAACGGAAUAAGGUUCUUCGGAAUUUGUUAGUGGCGAACGGGUGGGUAACGCGUGAGCAACCUGCCUCUUUGAGGGGGAUAACAACCGGAAACGGUUGCUAAUACCGCAUAAGACCACACUUCCGCAUGGGAGAGAGGUCAAAGGAGGAAUCCGCAGAGAGAGGGGCUCGCGUCCCAUUAGGUAGACGGCGGGGUAACGGCCCACCGUGCCGACGAUGGGUAGCCGAGCUGAGAGGCUGAUCGGCCACACUGGAACUGAGACACGGUCCAGACUCCUACGGGAGGCAGCAGUGGGGAAUAUUGGGCAAUGGGCGCAAGCCUGACCCAGCAACGCCGCGUGAGGGAAGAAGGUCUUCGGAUUGUAAACCUCUGUCCUUGGUGACGAAGGAAGUGACGGUAGCCAAGGAGGAAGCCCCGGCUAACUACGUGCCAGCAGCUGC